rnacentral:rRNA from 1 species
UACGGAGGGGGCUAGCGUUGUUCGGAAUUACUGGGCGUAAAGCGCGCGUAGGCGGACCUGCAAGUCGGGGGUGAAAGCCCGAGGCUCAACCUCGGAACUGCCUUCGAUACUGCGGGUCUCGAGUCCGGGAGAGGUGAGUGGAAUUCCUAGUGUAGAGGUGAAAUUCGUAGAUAUUUAGGAAGAACACCAGUGGCGAAGGCGGCUGCACUGGCCCGGUACUGACGCUGAGGCGCGAAAGGCGUGGGGAGCAAACAGG